ensembl:lincRNA
GCAAUUGGAGUCUUUGAGGCGAAUACGAGGCUGGGGCCGGUUACCGACCGGCCGCUUCUUGCCGAGGCACUCCAGGCUUUUCCCCUGGCGGUGGCCGCUGCGAGACAGCAUCUGUCAACGCUCUUCUUUUCCCCUCCUCCUCUGGACGGGCCGGGCUCCGCCGGCUGCGGCCGAGAGGACGCGGGACCCGGCGCGGUGAGCCCAUCAGCUGUCAGGCGAGCGGCGAAGCGGCCGGAGGGCGGCGAGAGACACACAAAGAACGCAGUGGGCGGCGGCGGCGAAAGGGGGCGGCAAAUUCGGGACGGCAACUCCUCUCCGCGCACGCCGGUGCCACCGCCGCCCGGGCUUGGUCCGAGGCCGCGCAGACAAUGCGGCCGGGCCCCAGAGUGCGGGGCGCCUGCGCUCCCCAGAUCCCAACUUGACCGUCACCCUGCUCGCCCAGCCCCCUCCCGGGAUAGGGACGCCCCCCUCGUUCCGGCACGGGCGAAGGAAGUCUGUCCGCGGCCGCGUAGCCCGGCAACUUGCAAGCCGGGAAAAGUUUGCGGCGCCUCCGCGGGGCGGCGCGACACUGCCCGCCCCACGCGUCCGCGGUCACCGAGGGUGACUUUCUCGACUCGUCGUCAGCCGGGGCCGCAGCGCGGCCGGCGAGGACUGCGGGGAGGGCCGGAGUCGGUCCGAGGGCUCCCGCACCUCGGGCUGCGGCACCAGACAUGUUGGCAUCAUCUCUUAGUUGGGCCCUGUGGCCAGGGAACCCCUCAUGAAACCACCUCUGCAGCCUGGAGAGUUGCUGUAGAAGAAGGAAAAAAAGAGGAAGACGACGCAACGCAGGAGAUAAGUACCACUGGACAAAAUGGAAGUAGUAGUUGUUGAGCAGAGGGGAAAGGGAUGGGAGAAGGAUGUGGACUGCAGUGUUGUAGUGCCAGCUAAUAACUUUCAUCAUGUACCUCCUUGGCUCAGGUGCUGUCUCUUCUACUCUCUUCCUUACUUGUAUUACCUUAUUUAGCCCUUAAUUAUAUACUUUCUUAACUCACUUUCAGAAACACUGAUUAUGUGGUCUGCCUCAAAGACAGAAUCCUAGUUUUGGAUUUUAGCCUUACUGAUCUAUAGCCUUGUAGGGGCUUACGGAUGGCAGCUGUCUCUCCCCCUGGGGAUCUAGCUUUUGGAAAUAUUGAAGGGAAGAUAUUUCUAUGAUCUUAUAGGAAAAGAUUCACAGUUCAUCUCCAAAUUUGCUUUUAUAGAGAAGUGUGUGUCACCAAAACAUGGAGAUAUGGUCAGAGAGGCCCCUACCCCCAGACUUUUAAUAUAAUUUUGCUUUCUAGGGCAUUUGUUCUUGUCAAAUACUUUCUCUCCUGUCAGCUCACUUGUUCCUCACAAAAGUCCUAUAAGGUAUUAAUAGUGUUAAACAGACCCCUAUGAAGCACCUCAAGUCUUUCUGUCUUCCCACUUCCAUUCUUGCACACCUUUUGCUAGACUAGUCUCUGCGGUCGUCACAUCAGGUUUCUAAAAUGAAAGUCCCCUAAUAACUUUCUAUUUGUUCCCUCAUCAAAUUGAACCUUUUUUGCCUGGCUUAUAAGGUGGCCUUAAAACCCCAUUCAGGAACAUGGCAGGCUCAACAUGUGUGCAUGAGCCAUAUUGCUUCCCUCAUUAGUGAUGCCUCCUCUCAAACCACCCAGAUUCUACUCAUUCUUCAAUUUCCAGCUUCUCCUUGGAGCUUCCCAGAUCAUUAGCUUCUUAAAAAUCCCAGCUUUCUCUGAAUUCUGAUGGUAGCCACCGUUAUUUGGGCAAUUAUGUCCUGGUCUUAAAGCCCUAAUGGAAAAAAAAAAAAAGUAUAUGAUGGACUUUAUGAAGAGAAGAAAGCACUGGACUGAGUUUUAAGACAUCUGCUAAGGAGCCAUGUGAGCCAAACCAAGUUACUUUACCUCUCUGGAUCUUUAUUUGCUGAUCUAAGUGGAGAGGACUGGGUCAGAUAAUCUUGGUGGUCUCUGCUCAUUCUGAGGUUCUUGGACAACUUGACCUAGUUCACAUGGGAUGGGAUUGAAGAUCUUACUGAGUUCUUGGAUGGAAAUGGUCAGUAAUGGGCACUCAGUGCCUUCAGGACUUGUUCUGUACUAUCCCAGAAAUUUCUGAUGCUAAACUUGGCAGUUUUUAAAUGCCAUACUCCUUUUUUCCAAACUCUUUAACCACAAGAAUUCAGGGAAGGUUAAUGGGGGGUGACUUAGGUAUCUGGAUAAUAUGCAUUGUGGACAAUAUAGCAUUAUCCUUGGGAAUGAUUUCAUAUUGUUGAAUAAAUAGCAUCAACUUCUUGAUAAACCUUAGUCCUGAGCAUUUCAUCUUCAUUGGAUGGUACUAUAUAGUAAUAUAUUUAUGUUUUCUUUUAAUCAUUUCAUAACUUAGAAAGUACUAACAUAGUCAAAACUCUAGGAUAAGUGAUAUAUGAGUUUUCUGUAGUAAUCUGGUUGGAGACAUGUUGUAAUUCUGCAUAUAUAUGUACAUUUAUCCCAUGCACGUUAUGCUUAAACUAAGAAGGAUACCCCUGAAUUAAGACGUGCUGUUAUACAUUGACCAGACUUAAGAAUAUCUCUUUAAAGUAUAUUGACAUUUAAUUGACCUUUGAAAGUUCAUUCUGUUAAUCAUACUCAAAGUGCUAAAGCUAUGGUUGACUGCUCUGGUGUUUUUAUAUUCAUUCGUGCUUUAGCAUAUAAAUUCUUCAGCAUAAUUGCUACUUAUUUAGCAAGAAUUUCCUUUCUUUGAAAAUGUGAGUUGUGCUUGUAUUUUCGUGUCUUUCUUUUUUUUUUUAUUUUAUUAAAGUUUGCUUCAGGCUAGGUAGUGGUAGAGGUUUGAAUUAAAAUGUUUUCCUGUCAGUAGUUGUAUGAGGUGUGGCUUCUUAAUCUAGAAGUAAUGGAAAUUUCUUGCUUAAAUGAAGUGCACUUUUCUUCCUGCAGAAGUUAGAACUCUUAAGUUACAAUGCUGAAAUUUAGACAAGCUUAACACUUCAAAACUCGAUAUCUUUAGCAGAAACUUUUGGAAAUUUUGAAUUCCAUUUGUGUAGAUUAAAAAUAUCAGUGCUAAUACUUUCUGUUAAAUAAGGAUUUAUC